AUACGGAGGGUGCAAGCGUUACUCGGAAUUACUGGGCGUAAAGGACGCGUAGGCGGCCUGAUAAGUUAGAUGUGAAAUCCUAUGGCUUAACCAUAGAACUGCAUCUAAAACUAUUAGGCUAGAGUGGGGGAGAGGUCAGUGGAAUUAGUGGUGUAGGGGUAAAAUCCGUAGAGAUCACUAGGAAUACUCAUUGCGAAGGCGACUGACUGGAACUUAACUGACGCUGAGGCGUGAAAGCGUGGGGAGCAAACAGGAUUAGAAACCCUAGUAGUCC
rnacentral:rRNA from 1 species